rnacentral:rRNA from 1 species
GACCUCUUAAUCAACAAGGAUACCCGCUGAAUUUAAGCAUGUCAAUAA